UACGGGGGGGGCAAGCGUUGUUCGGAAUUACUGGGCGUAAAGGGCUCGUAGGCGGCCAACUAAGUCAGACGUGAAAUCCCUCGGCUUAACCGGGGAACUGCAUCUGAUACUGGAUGGCUUGAGUUCGGGAGAGGGAUGCGGAAUUCCUGGUGUAGCGGUGGAAUGCGCAGAUAUCAGGAGGAACACCGGUGGCGAAGGCGGGUCUCUGGGCAGUAACUGACGCUGAGGAGCGAAAGCGUGGGGAGCGAACAGG
rnacentral:rRNA from 1 species